rnacentral:lncRNA from 1 species
UCCUUUUUCAUCUCAACUUCUAUAAUGAAAGGGCCUUGAAGGCCUGAGGGGGUAUAAGAAGAAGGAGGGUUGUUUGGAUGAAGCAAGUUUUACCUUUUCCUUUUUGUCCCAAAUAUUUUCUUUCUUAUCCUGUAGGGGAUUGGGUGUGAGUGUUAAUAGGAGAAUGUGGAGUGAACCUAGUUGUGUUUGGAUAAAAAUUAAGGCUACUAAGAGGGGUAAAGAUCCCAGUAAAGUAUAAAAUAGAAAGUAUAGUCCAGCAUUUAGACGUUCUGUUUGAUUACCUCAUCGAGCAAUAACAAUCAGUGUGGGAAUUAGGGUAGUUUCAAAUAAGAUAUAGUACAUGAUUAGUUCAACUGCGCUGAAAGCUAUUAAGAGGGCGAUUUGGAGGAUUACUAGGAGUAUUAGGUAGGUUCGCUUGUGGGUUAUGGGUUCUUUUAUUAAGUGAAAUUGGCUAGCAAGAAUUAUGAGUGGUAAUAAUCAGCAGGAUAAGAUUAGUAAGGGAGAAGAUAGGGAGUCAGCAGAGAAGGAUAUGUUAAAGUUUAAUCCUAGGUCUAUGUGUUGAUUGAGAGUAAGAAGACUAAAAGAGCUGAUCAAGAGGCUAUAAAUAGAAGAGUUAAUUCAUAUUCAUUCUUUUUUUGAGUAAGAGAUAAGGGGUAACAGUAUUAUAGUAGGAAUUAGGAUUUUUAACAUUGUAGUAGAUUAAGGUUAUUAAUAUGGUCUGUUCCGUAGGAGUUAGAGGUUUUAACUAAAAGUGCUAAGCCUACGCCUGCUUCGCAUGCGGAGAAAACUAGUAAAAUAAGAGGGAGUAUUAUAGUUGAGUUUAGAUGGUGGUGAAGAAGAAUGAGAGCCACUAUAAUAAAAAUUGACAAUAUCAUACCUUCAAGACAUAGUAGGGUUGAUAUUAAGUGUUCUCGAUAGAUGAAAACCCCCACUAGGGCUACUGUAAAUGCUAAUAAGAGAUUAAGGAAUAUAGUUGUUAUUAGGUGAUCAUGGAUUAAUACCAGGGUUAAUUGAGCCGAAAUCAAUAGUCUUGUCUAGACUAAUCACCUUUCAGUUCACUCUAAACCUUUUUGUAGUCAUUCAUAGGCUAAUCCUAAUGUUAAUAGAGCUAAUAAGACUCCUGAUAAACUUAAGAGUGAGUAGGGUGAUGAUGUUUGUGAUGCUCAUGGAAUAGGAAGUAGGAUAGCAAUUUCUAGGUCAAAUAAUAAAAAGGUAAUAGCAACUAGAAAAAAUUUUAUGGAGAAAGGAAGACGUGCUGAUCCUAGAGGAUCAAAACCACAUUCAUAGGGACUUGAUUUUUCUAAGUAAGUAUAAAGUUGUGGGAGUCAGAAUGCCACCAUUACUAGGAUAGUGGCUAGACCAGUGUUAAUUAGGAGAGCAAUUACUAGGUUAAUUAUUUCUCUUUGGGUUAAGACCAAAACUUAAUGAUUGGAAGUCACUUGUACUAAUUGAUACUAGAGAAAUAUGAGCCUCAUCAAUAAAUUGAAACGUAUAAGAAGAGUCAUACA